rnacentral:rRNA from 1 species
GACAGAGGGGGCAAGCGUUGCUCGGAAUCACUGGGCGUAAAGGGCGCGUAGGCGGGAUGGCAAGUCAGUCGUGAAAUCUCUCGGCUCAACCGAGAAACGUCGGCUGAUACUGCCGUUCUUGAGGGAUGCAGAGGAGACUGGAAUUCCCGGUGUAGCGGUGAAAUGCGUAGAUAUCUGGAGGAACACCGGUGGCGAAGGCGGCAUCCUGGACCGACAUUGACGCUGAUGAGCGAAAGCCAGGGGAGCAAACGGG